AGAGCCCGCUGAAAGGUUCUCAGCUGUGUGCCAGGAUCAGAGCAGAGACCCUUCACUGCCUGUCCGAAGCCUUUGGGAAGACAGUGGCAAGCGCUUUUGGUGACUGCAGCCAACUUCCAAGGGUUUGGCUGUGCAAGGCAAAACCCAGCCCUGGACAAGCACCUUCUGCUGCAUGCACACAAUGCAUACCCACGUGCACUCUGUCUGAGAAAGCUACAAGACCAAUGAAAUUCAACUGUGGAAGGAAACCACACAGCCCACAUGGGCACAAGGAAAACAUCAAGCUUCACCCAGACGGUGGUCCCAGAUGGGAAUGGACUGGAUUUUUUUGUUUGUUUGUUUUGAUCAACAUUACAACAAAGUGAUGUUGACUGAAACGAUGUAAAGACCAGCAAUAUAUUACUGAGAAAUUCCAAAUAUACUGAUUCCAAAGUUA